rnacentral:rRNA from 1 species
GUGCCAGCCGCCGCGGUAAUACGGAGGGUGCAAGCGUUAUCCGGAUUCACUGGGUUUAAAGGGUGUGUAGGCGGGCUGUUAAGUCAGUGGUGAAAUCUCCGGGCUCAACCCGGAAACUGCCAUUGAUACUAUCAGUCUUGAAUAUCGUUGAGGUUGGCGGAAUAUAUCAUGUAGCGGUGAAAUGCUUAGAUAUGAUAUAGAACACCGAUUGCGAAGGCAGCUAACUAAGCGAUGAUUGACGCUGAGGCACGAAAGCGUGGGGAUCAAACAGGAUUAGAAACCCGCGUAGUCC